rnacentral:lncRNA from 1 species
GGAAGUGGGGAAGGGAAGUGAGGGGUAGAGGAAGGCGGGUUCCUGGCUCGGCUCUACCACCAUGGAUCUAGGUGGGCUCAAUGUCAUCACAAGGGUGCUUAAGAGGGAAAGAGGAAGCCAUGAGGGUCAGAGUCAAAGGAAGACUUGAAGAUACUACACUGCGGACUUUACAGAUGAAGGAAGGGGCGAAAACCAAGAAUGUGGGAAGCCUCUAGAAGCUAGAGAAGGCAAGGAAACAAAUUUUCCACUAGAGCCUCCAGAAGGAACACAGCCCUGCUGACCCACUGUAAUGUCUGACCUCUAGAUGUGUAAGGGUAGUAAGACUGAAAGUCUCAGAAAGGCACUGUUACAUUCUUAUUCCACAACUAUGCAACUCGAAACUGGGGUCCUCAGCAGUGAGCGAGGGGUGAGAGAAGACACUGUAUAAACAUGGCACAUCCUCCUGGAAAGUCAACUUUACUCAAAGGUUCUUACACACAGUGACAGCUAGCAGAGUCUAAAAUGCUGACAUUAUGACUUAGAGAUGUGAUAAAGAGAAACAUCUACUGCAUUUUCUGUAAGUAAAUGUGGUGCCGGCAUUGAGAGAACAUACGUAAUCAGAUACCUGUUCUCCCUGAGUUUCUUAAUUUAAGCCUCGCGAUUCCUAAUUAGCAGUUAGAUUGCAUCCAUUGUUAUUUUGUCUUUGGUUAUCAAUGAUGAUCAACCUUUGCUAAACAAAGAUAUGUCAUCAUGCUGGGGACACUCAUGGAUUUUUUUUUUAAAGGUUUUAACAUUUGAUAAUAGGUUUUCCAAUAGCUUGAAGGGUAGCUUUUAACAUUUCUUUUCCAGCUGAAGUAUUUCCUGAGUUCUGUCCAAGCCCUCUGUAGUUAAAGAAAAGGCUUUUUGACACUGAAUAGACAAUGUUGUGGCUUUUUUUUUCCUUCUUCAGACAAAUGUGUAGGCAUUUAGACCGCCACGUUGUACUCUCGUAAUUGAGACACCUUGCAGAAAUGGCAAUUAAGGGUGACUCGUGUCAAAAAUAUUCAGGACAAAUUACAUUUUACUGAUUUUUAAAAACUUUCAAAGGUACUCUCUCCUCUUUCUUUCUCCUUUCUCUCUUCCUACCUCCCUCCCACCCGCUCCUCGUUUUUUCUUUUAAAUAUUAAGUAAACUGUUUGCAUUUUUACGUCUCAUCAAAGUUGUUCCAGGUUUUUUCUGGGUUUACUGAAACUUCAAAUUGACUACUCAGAUCAAAACAAUUAGUGAAGUCUAAGGUAUUCUUAAUUCCUGAAAUGAAAACAGAAUGGACGUUCAGGACGUUCUGUUUUGCUCUGGCUACCCGCUUGGCUUCUCGCUCAGAAUAUUCUUGCUCUCAAGUUAGUUCCAGUUCUGUUUAUUUUGUCCUGAGCUCAGUGAACUUUCCAAAGCCCUACUCUUCAAACAACACUUUUUUUCCCCCGCCCCGUGAGCUGGAGUUUAUUUUGUGCUCACCCUUCAUUCUGUGAGUUGUGAAUAAUUUUAACACAAAGAAAAAAAAAUCUCCUCCCGACCACGGAGAGAAGAGGGGAUUUUAGAAUAAAGAUAAAAAUUGCUGUUUUAGCCCCCAAAGCAAAGGACUUGGGAAAGAAGAGAAAAGGGGGGAAAAUAGAACAGCAAAGGAAAAAAAAAAAAAAA